rnacentral:rRNA from 1 species
AGAUUGAACGCUGGCGGCAUGCUUUACACAUGCAAGUCGUGCGGCAGCGCGGGGGCAACCCUGGCGGCGAGCGGCGAACGGGUGAGGAAUACAUCGGAACGUACCCCGGAGUGGGGAUAACCCAGCGAAAGUUGGACUAAUACCGCAUAUGCUCUGAGGAGGAAAGCGAGGGGACUUCG